CCUAACCGUGCAAAGGUAGCAUAAUCACUUGUCUCCNAAAUAGAGACUAGUAUGAACGGUCAAAUGAGGACUUAACUGUCUCUUACAUUCAACCAAUAAAACUGAUCUCUCAGUNAAAAAGCUGAGAUAUAAACAUAAGACGAGAAGACCCUGUGGAGCUUCAAACCUAACUAACCCAAAUGGNUUGGUUUUCAGUUGGGGCGACUUCGGAGUANAAAAAACCCUCCGAC
rnacentral:rRNA from 1 species